rnacentral:rRNA from 1 species
GGCCUAACACAUGCAAGUCGGAGGGGGUAGAGUUCGUUCGGGACUUGAGACCGGCGCGACGGGUGCGUAACGCGUAUGCAAUCUACCUUAUACGAGGGGAAUAGCCCAAGAGUAAAAUUUGGUAAUUAAUCGCCCCAUAGUGUUAUCGAAUCGCAUGGUUUGAUAACUAAAGUUCCAACGGUAUAAGAUGAGCAUGCGUCCCAUUAGUUAGUUGGUAAGGUAACGGCUUACCAAGACAAUGAUGGGUAGGGGUCCUGAGAGGGAGAUCCCCCACACUGGUACUGAGACACGGACCAGACUCCUACGGGAGGCAGCAGUGAGGAAUAUUGGUCAAUGGGCGCAAGCCUGAACCAGCCAUGCCGCGUGCAGGAAGACGGUCCUAUGGAUUGUAAACUGUCUUUUAUACAGGAAGAAACCCUCCCACGUGUGGGAGCUUGACGGUACUGUAGGAAUAAGGAUCGGCUAACUCCGUG